rnacentral:rRNA from 1 species
GAUGAACGCUGGCGGCGUGCCUAAUACAUGCAAGUAGAACGCUGAAGGAGGAGCUUGCUCUUCUGGAUGAGUUGCGAACGGGUGAGUAACGCGUAGGUAACCUGCCUGGUAGCGGGGGAUAACUAUUGGAAACGAUAGCUAAUACCGCAUGACAACAGUUAUUGCAUGAUAACUGUUUAAAAGGGGCAACUGCUCCACUACCAGAUGGACCUGCGUUGUAUUAGCUAGUUGGUGGGGUAACGGCUCACCAAGGCGACGAUACAUAGCCGACCUGAGAGGGUGAUCGGCCACACUGGGACUGAGACACGGCCCAGACUCCUACGGGAGGCAGCAGUAGGGAAUCUUCGGCAAUGGACGGAAGUCUGACCGAGCAACGCCGCGUGAGUGAAGAAGGUUUUCGGAUCGUAAAGCUCUGUUGUAAGAGAAGAACGAGUGUGAGAGUGGAAAGUUCACACUGUGACGGUAUCUUACCAGAAAGGGACGGCUAACUACGUG